rnacentral:rRNA from 1 species
GAACCGCACAAACGUUAUUCGGAAUCACUGGGGCUUAAAGGGGUGCGUAGGCGGCGCUGUAAGUUGGAUGUGAAAUCCCACAGCUCAACUGUGGAACUGCGUUCAAUACUGCAGUGCUUGAGGGAGAUAGAGGAGAGCGGAACUACGGGUGGAGCGGUGAAAUGCGUUGAUAUCCGUAGGAACACCGGUGGCGAAAGCGGCUCUCUGGGUCUCUUCUGACGCUGAGGCACGAAAGCUAGGGUAGCGAACGGGAUUAGAUACCCCGGUAGUCCUAGCUGUAAACGAUGAGCACUGGGUUGGGGAGGUUCCCAUGCCUUCCUGGCCGAACUGAAAAAGUUAAGUGCUCCGCCUGGGGAGUAUGGUCGCAAAGGCUGA